GUGAUAUCAUAGUUCACAUUUUGGUAUCUACCCGAUAUCCGUGAAAUCUGGAAAAACUGACCAAUCGUCAAGUCCCGAUAUGAAGUCAGGAACAUAUUCAUGUUGGAAUACAUCCUCACUCCCCAAGUUAAAUUCUGAAUUUAGGUUAAACAGGGUCAUGUCUUCAAAAUCAUGUCCACUUUCUGCGAGGAACGAUAAUCCCACAUCAGCUCUUGCACAGGAAUCAUUAGAUGAAGAUGGCAUUGGCAUAGGUUAAACAGGGUCCCGUCUUCAAAAUCAUCUCCACUUUCUGUGAGGAACGAUAAUCCCACGUCAGCUCUUGCACAGGAAUCAUUAGAUGCAGAUGGCAUUGGCAGGAUUACUAGAUCCUUGGUCCGACCAACAUCACUAG
rnacentral:lncRNA from 1 species